rnacentral:rRNA from 1 species
UAAACCUACCCAUCAGAGGGGGAUAACACUUGGAAACAGGUGCUAAUACCGCAUAACAGUUUAUGCCGCAUGGCAUAAGAGUGAAAGGCGCUUUCGGGUGUCGCUGAUGGAUGGACCCGCGGUGCAUUAGCUAGUUGGUGAGGUAACGGCUCACCAAGGCCACGAUGCAUAGCCGACCUGAGAGGGUGAUCGGCCACACUGGGACUGAGACACGGCCCAG